GAUGAACGCUGGCGGCGUGCUUAACACAUGCAAGUCGAACGAAGAUGCCGGAGUGCUUGCACUUUGGCAGACUGAGUGGCGGACGGGUGAGUAACGCGUGGGUAACCUGCCUUAUACAGGGGGAUAACAGUCGGAAACGACUGCUAAUACCGCAUAAGCGCACAGUGCCGCAUGGCACGGUGUGAAAAACUCCGGUGGUCUGGGAUGGACCCGCGUCCGAUUAGUUAGUUGGCGGGGUAACGGCCCACCAAGACCGCGAUCGGUAGCCGACCUGAGAGGGUGACCGGCCACAUUGGGACUGAGACACGGCCCAGACUCCUACGGGAGGCAGCAGUGGGGAAUAUUGCACAAUGGAGGAACUACUGAUGCAGCGACGCCGCGUGAGCGAAGAAGUAAUU
rnacentral:rRNA from 1 species